rnacentral:lncRNA from 1 species
AGGCCAACCAGGAACUCUGCUAGGAGAUGAUCAGAUCUACAAUGUUAUUGUUACCGCCCACGCAUUCAUCAUACUCUUCUUUAUGGUAAUACUAAUCAUAAUUGGGGGUUUCGGCAACUGGCUAGUCCCGCUGAUAAUUGGUGCACCCGAUACGGCAUUCCCUCGGAUAAAUAAUAUGAGCUUUUAACUUCCCCCUCCGUCUGUUCUACUCCUACUUUCAUCCUCAAUAGUAGAAGCCGGUGCUGGAACCAGCUGAACAGUUCAUCCCUCUUUAGGGGAAACCUAGCACAUGCAGGAGCCUCUGUGGAUCUGACCAUCUUCUCACUCCACUGGGCAGGGGUUUCUUCUAUUUUAGGGGCCAUUAACUUUAUUACCACAGUCAUUAACAUAAAACCCCCAGCCAUAUCAAACACCACUUUUCAUCUGAUCAGUCCUCAUUAUGGCAGUCCUUCUACUCCUUUCUCUUCCAGUCCUAUAGCUGCCGACAUUAUUGUGCUAUUAAUUGACUGUGACCUCAACACUACUUUUUUUGACCCUGCUGGAGGGGGUGACCUUAUCUUGUAUCAACAUUUAUUCUGAUUCUUUGGUAACCCUGAAGUGUAUAUCCUUCUCCUGUCAGGCUUCGAGAUAAUCUCCCGUUCGUAACAUAUUAUUCUGGAAAAAGGGAAUCAUUUGGGUAUAUGGGCAUAGUGUGAGCCAUUAUAUCAAUUGGCAUCUUAGGACUUAUCGUAUGGGCUCACCAUAUAUUUACAAUAGGAAUAGACAUAGACACAGAGCAUACUUCACGUCCACUACCAUAAUUAUUGCUAUCCCUACUGGCGUCAAAAUAUUUAGCUGAUUAGCUACACUGCAUGGCAGUAACAUCAAAUUAUCUCCCACAAUAUUCUGAGCCCUGGGAUUCAUCUUCCUUUUCACAGCAGGAGGUCUAGCCUGCAUUGUACUAGCUAAUUCAUCACUUGAUACUGUCUUACAUGAUACGUAUUAUGUUGUAGCCCAUUUCCACUAUGUCCUAUCAAUAGGAGAGGUAUUCGCCAUCAAGGAGGCUUUGUCCACUGAUUCCCCCAAUUUUCAGGUUAUAUACUUAAUCAGACCUACGCUAAAAUCCACUUCACCUUUGUACUUACAGGUGUUAAUGUAACCGUUUUCCCAUGGCACUUCCUCGGCCUAUCGGUAUGCCCUGGUAUUACUCCGAUUAUCCUGAUGCAUCCGCCACAUGAAAUAUUCUCUCAUCUGUAGGCUCAUUUAUCUCACUAACAGCAGUUAUACUAAUAAUCUUUAUAAAACAAAAAGUUCUAACAAUUGAACAUUCAUCUACUAAUUUAGAGUGGCUUUACGGCCGUCCACCACCUUACCACACAUUCGAAGAGCCAACCUACGUGAAAAC